UCUCUGGCCUCAAGUAAUUUCUUCCUACACUGGCUGCCCCCAAGAAUAUAACAGAAAGCAAUCUACAAAGCCAGCAAGCUUGGUGGGAAGAUGCCUAAACCAGCCAAUAGGGGAUUCUAACAAGAGGGGUGUAUUCUAAGGCCCGCCCCACUCAGAGUUUGGUGCUUAUCUCCACUUGUAAUCCACAGACAGGGGAAAGUUAGGCAGGUAAAAGUCUGGUCUGUCUUGUGGGGCCUCAUACAGUAGGUGGGCUCAGAGGCAGUUUAACUCCACACGUAACACCUGGAGUGGUAGAGAAGCAAGGACAAUGUGUCUGAUAACAAGGAUCUGUCACCUCUCAGGGGUAAGGUGCUGUAUCCCUGAAGUGACCAUUUUGCAUCCAGGUGCUAUGAGGUUCAUCUUCUCCCUUCCAGCUGAUCUCAAAGGACUUUACAAAGGAAGAAAAGCAUCUUUUUAAAGAUGGAGAAACAGAGGCUAGCCUGAAGUCACACAGCAGAUGAGGGAGAUAGCCAGUAAUAGAACCUAGGUUUCCUGAUUCCUAAGCCAGUUCUCUAGCCACUAGACAACACUGUCUUCUCUGUAAGGUCUCUUUUAAGCAUUAUUAUUUUAUGGUCCAAAAAGCCCCCAAGCCCCUCUUUCUUCCAAAAAACAAUAAGAGCAGGUUAUUAGGAGUCAAGGGCUUGGGUUUUAUUCCUGCCACUGUGAGGUUUUGGGCAAGCUACUUAGGUCAUAAGUUUCAAAGA